rnacentral:rRNA from 1 species
ACGAACGCUGGCGGCGUGCUUAACACACGCACGUCGAACGGAAAGGCCCUGCUUUUGUGGGGUGCUCGAGUGGCGAACGGGUGAGUAACACGUGAGUAACCUGCCCUUGACUUUGGGAUAACUUCAGGAAACUGGGGCUAAUACCGGAUAGGAGCUCCUGCUGCAUGGUGGGGGUUGGAAAGUUUCGGCGGUUGGGGAUGGACUCGCGGCUUAUCAGCUUGUUGGUGGGGUAGUGGCUUACCAAGGCUUUGACGGGUAGCCGGCCUGAGAGGGUGACCGGCCACAUUGGGACUGAGAUACGGCCCAGACUCCUACGGGAGGCAGCAGUGGGGAAUAUUGCACAAUGGGCGGAAGCCUGAUGCAGCAACGCCGCGUGCGGGAUGACGGCCUUCGGGUUGUAAACCGCUUUCGCCUGUGACGAAGCGUGAGUGACGGUAAUGGGUAAAGAAGCACCGGCUAACUACGUG